UCGAACCUGUCCCGAAAUAGGAAAAACUUGUGAACGUGUUGAUACGCAUGCGUUGCGUGGGGACUUUAACCGGUCGUCACGCUCGUUUUCUCCGUAGAUCGGAUGCGGCAGAGCGGGUGCACACUCGUUAUGCCGUGCUCGGUUCGGUCGGAGCUCACCAAACCCCGGCGUGAAAAGCGCCAAGGACAAUUCAGUGAACAGCAGCUCACUCCGAAUCGGUGUGAUGCCUGCGAUCAUAAGUAGUCUAAAACGACUCUCGGCAACGGAUAUCUCGGCUCUCGCAUCGAUGAAGAACGUAGCGAAAUGCGAUACUUGGUGUGAAUUGCAGAAUCCCGUGAACCAUCGAGUUUUUGAACGCAAGUUGCGCCCCAAGCCGUCAGGCCGAGGGCACGCUUGCCUGGGUGUCACGCAUCGUCAUCUCCUCCACCCGUGUAAAGCUUUUACGCCGGGGUGGGAUUACGGAGAAGGAGAUUGGUCUCCCGUGUGUUACCGCAUGCGGUUGGCCUAAAAUCGAGCAACGGGGGCGCGGAGCUUCCUGACGAGCGGUGGCCUGAAGAUGCCUCGUGAAAACGUCUGUCGCUUCCGUCCCAUAGAGUUGACUCAUAACCCUCUUAGCGUCGCUCGCACNANUCNNNGGAGCAUACCUNAGAGCAGGCGCNC
rnacentral:rRNA from 1 species